rnacentral:hammerhead_ribozyme from 1 species
ACACUGCUGACGAGUCUCAAACAGGACGAAACAGCUGUCCAGUGC